GAUGAACGCUAGCUACAGGCUUAACACAUGCAAGUCGAGGGACCGGCGCACGGGUGAGUAACAUGUAUCCAACCCGCCCUUUACUCGGGGAUAGCCUUUCGAAAGAAAGAUUAAUACCCGAUAUAAAGGAUGGGGAUGCGUUUCAUUAGUUUGUUGGUGAGGUAACGGCGAACCAAGCUUUCGAUGGAUAGGGGUUCUGAGGGGAAGGUCCCCCACAUUGGAACUGUGGCACGGUCCUAACUGCUACGUGAGGCAGGAGUUAAGAAUAUUAGGCAAGUGGCGCUAGCCUGAACCUGCCAAGUAGCGGGAAGGAUGAAGGCUUAUGGGUCGUAAUCUUCUGUUAUAUAAGAAUAUGUAUUAUAUGAAUAAGGAUCGGCUAACUCCGUGCCAGCAGCCGCGGUAAUAC
rnacentral:rRNA from 1 species